GGGAGUGGAAGCGUGCCUGGUGGGCGCCACGGCCUUCAAAGCCGCUGCAGGUUCGAGAGGACCUGGCUGGGUUCGAUUCCCAGACACUCCCG
rnacentral:tRNA from 1 species